rnacentral:rRNA from 1 species
AACGAACGCUGGCGGCAGGCUUAACACAUGCAAGUCGAACGCCCCGCAAGGGGAGUGGCAGACGGGUGAGUAACGCGUGGGAAUCUACCCAGUUCUACGGAACAACUGAGGGAAACUUCAGCUAAUACCGUAUACGCCCUACGGGGGAAAGAUUUAUCGGAAUUGGAUGAGCCCGCGUUGGAUUAGCUAGUUGGUGAGGUAACGACUCACCAAGGCGACGAUCCAUAGCUGGUCUGAGAGGAUGAUCAGCCACACUGGGACUGAGACACGGCCCAGACUCCUACGGGAGGCAGCAGUGGGGAAUAUUGGACAAUGGGCGCAAGCCUGAUCCAGCCAUGCCGCGUGAGUGAUGAAGGCCUUAGGGUUGUAAAGCUCUUUCAGUGGGGACGAUAAUGACGGUACCCACAGAAGAAGCCCGGCUAACUUCGUGCCAGCAGCCGCGGUAAAAC